rnacentral:rRNA from 1 species
AUUGAACGCUGGCGGCAUGCCUUACACAUGCAAGUCGAACGGUAACGCGGGGCAACCUGGCGACGAGUGGCGAACGGGUGAGUAAUGCAUCGGAACGUGCCCAGUAGUGGGGGAUAGCCCGGCGAAAGCCGGAUUAAUACCGCAUACGACCUACGGGUGGAAGCGGGGGACCGCAAGGCCUCGCGCUAUUGGAGCGGCCGAUGUCAGAUUAGGUUGUUGGUGGGGUAAAGGCCUACCAAGCCUACGAUCUGUAGCUGGUCUGAGAGGACGACCAGCCACACUGGGACUGAGACACGGCCCAGACUCCUACGGGAGGCAGCAGUGGGGAAUUUUGGACAAUGGGGGCAACCCUGAUCCAGCCAUGCCGCGUGCGGGAAGAAGGCCUUCGGGUUGUAAACCGCUUUUGUCGGGGAAGAAAUCUUUCGGGCUAAUACCUCGGAAGGAUGACGGUGCCCGAAGAAUAAGCACCGGCUAACUACGUGCCAGCCGCCGCCGUAACAC